AACGAACGCUGGCGGCAUGCCUAACACAUGCAAGUCGAACGAGACCUUCGGGUCUAGUGGCGCACGGGUGCGUAACGCGUGGGAACCUGCCUUUAGGUUCGGAAUAACUCAGAGAAAUUUGAGCUAAUACCGGAUAAUGUCUUCGGACCAAAGAUUUAUCGCCUUUAGAUGGGCCCGCGUUGGAUUAGCUAGUUGGUGGGGUAAAGCCUACCAAGGCGACGAUCCAUAGCUGGUCUGAGAGGAUGAUCAGCCACACUGGGACUGAGACACGGCCCAGACU
rnacentral:rRNA from 1 species